GAUGAACGCUGGCGGCGUGCCUAAUACAUGCAAGUCGAGCGAACGGACGAGAAGCUUGCUUCUCUGAUGUUAGCGGCGGACGGGUGAGUAACACGUGGAUAACCUACCUAUAAGACUGGGAUAACUUCGGGAAACCGGCGCUAAUACCGGAUAAUAUUUUGAACCGCAUGGUUCAAAAGUGAAAGACGGUCUUGCUGUCACUUAUAGCUGGAUCCGAGCUGCAUUAGCUAGUUGGUAAGGUAACGGCUUACCAAGGCAACGAUGCAUAGCCGACCUGAGAGGGGGAUCGGCCACACUGGAAGUGAGACACGGUCCAGACUCCUGAGGGAGGCAGCAGUAGGGAAUCUUCCGCAAUGGGCGAAAGCCUGACGGAGCAGCGCCGCGUGAGUGAUGAAGGUCUUCGGAUCGUAAAACUCUGUUAUUAGGGAAGAACAUAUGUGUAAGUAGCUGUGCACAUAUUGACGGUACCUAGUCAGAAAGCCACGGCUAACUACGUG
rnacentral:rRNA from 1 species